rnacentral:rRNA from 1 species
GAUGAACGCUGACAGAAUGCUUAACACAUGCAAGUCAACUUGAAUUUGGGUUUUUAACUUAGAUUUGGGUGGCGGACGGGUGAGUAACGCGUAAAGAACUUGCCUCACAGCUAGGGACAACAUUUAGAAAUGAAUGCUAAUACCUGAUAUUAUGGUUAUAGGGCAUCCUAUAAUUAUGAAAGCUAUAAGCACUGUGAGAGAGCUUUGCGUCCCAUUAGCUAGUUGGAGAGGUAACAGCUCACCAAGGCGAUGAUGGGUAGCCGGCCUGAGAGGGUGAACGGCCACAAGGGGACUGAGACACGGCCCUUACUCCUACGGGAGGCAGCAGUGGGGAAUAUUGGACAAUGGACCGAGAGUCUGAUCCAGCAAUUCUGUGUGCACGAUGAAGUUUUUCGGAAUGUAAAGUGCUUUC